rnacentral:rRNA from 1 species
GACGAACGCUGGCGGCGUGCCUAAUACAUGCCAGUCGAGCGAAGUUUUUCUGGUGCUUGCACUAGAAAAACUUAGCGGCGAACGGGUGAGUAACACGUAAAGAACCUGCCUCAUAGACUGGGACAACUAUUGGAAACGAUAGCUAAUACCGGAUAACAGUAUUUCUCGCAUGAGAGAUAUUUAAAAGUUGGUUAUGCUAACACUAUGAGAUGGCUUUGCGGUGCAUUAGCUAGUUGGUGGGGUAAAGGCCCACCAAGGCGACGAUGCAUAGCCGACCUGAGAGGGUGAUCGGCCACACUGGGACUGAGACACGGCCCAGACUCCUACGGGAGGCAGCAGUAGGGAAUCUUCCGCAAUGGGCGAAAGCCUGACGGAGCAACGCCGCGUGAGUGAAGAAGGAUUUCGGUUCGUAAAGCUCUGUUGUUAGGGAAGAAUGGAUAUGUAGUAAUUAUACAUGUAAGAGACGGUACCUAACCAGAAAGCCACGGCUAACUACGUG